rnacentral:rRNA from 1 species
CCCUCCCUCUUUCUUCAUGCCUAACACAUGCAAGUCGAACGAGACCUUCGGGUCUAGUGGCGCACGGGUGCGUAACGCGUGGGAACCUGCCCUUAGGUUCGGAAUAACUCCCCGAAAGGGGUGCUAAUACCGGAUAAUGUCUUCGGACCAAAGAUUUAUCGCCUUUGGAUGGGCCCGCGUUGGAUUAGCUAGUUGGUAGGGUAAAAGCCUACCAAGGCGACGAUCCAUAGCUGGUCUGAGAGGAUGAUCAGCCACACUGGGACUGAGACACGGCCCAGACUCCUACGGGAGGCAGCAGUGGGGAAUAUUGGACAAUGGGCGAAAGCCUGAUCCAGCAAUGCCGCGUGAGUGAUGAAGGCCUUAGGGUUGUAAAGCUCUUUUACCCGGGAUGAUAAUGACAGUACCGGGAGAAUAAGCUCCGGCUAACUCCGUG